rnacentral:piRNA from 1 species
AACUGUUGGUGUCUGUAUCACUA